rnacentral:rRNA from 1 species
UACGUAGGGUGCAAGCGUUAUCCGGAAUUAUUGGGCGUAAAGAGCUCGUAGGCGGUUCGUCACGUCGGCUGUGAAAUCCCGAGGCUCAACCUCGGGUCUGCAGUCGAUACGGGCGGACUUGAGUACUGCAGGGGGAGACUGGAAUUCCUGGUGUAGCGGUGAAAUGCGCAGAUAUCAGGAGGAACACCGGUGGCGAAGGCGGGUCUCUGGGCCGAUAUUGACGCUGAGGAGCGAAAAGCGUGGGGGAGCAAAACAGG